GCCGGGGCUUCUUCUGCGGGUACCGUCAUCAUCUUCCCCGCUGAAAGCGCUUUACAAUCCUAAGACCUUCUUCACGCACGCGGCAUGGCUAGGUCAGGGUUUCCCCCAUUGCCUAAUAUUCCCC
rnacentral:rRNA from 1 species